ensembl:lncRNA
CCUUCCACCACUGAUAUUCAGGUCAAUGGCAGGGUUUCUGUCUUGAGUUCCUGCUUCAACCUGAACUCAUCAUCUCCUUCCAGCAAGCCUUCAGCUCCCAUCAUCUCUCCCCACCCACCAAAGAGUCUUCUGUUGUCAGGCAUCAUUCAUCCACCAGAUUGGACCAGGCAUUGCUACCCCACCAGAACUGCGACUUGGACUGCUGACCACUGUCCUUGCGGGGCCAUCUACAAAUGGGUCAGUUGCCCCAGUUCACUCUGGCUAGUCCUGGUUGCUUCUUCUUGGCUAGUCACUGGGGAGGUCCCUGCUGGCCUUGUGGCUGAACCCGUGUGGCCUCAGUCAGCAGCUGGAGAGCCAUUCCUGAGGGCUGAGAUAGUGACUCAGCCCUUCCCUCUCAUUGCCCAGGCGAGAUUCCUUCCUCCCUGGUUAUGCAAGGUCACACAGACUAUGUUUUCCUUAGUGGAGUCCAAAAUUUGGAAUCAUGGUAAGAGGAGAAAAUGGCAGUUAGUCUCAGGAAUAGAUAAGAUCCAUCAUGUUUCUCCAGGAGAGGUUUCCUUUUUUUCUCUUUUUGUUUUUUGGUGGGUUGUGGGUGGGUGAAAGAAGUGGUAAGGAACCUGUGUUCAUAUAUAAAGAGAUAAAUCCAAGGAGAAUUUGCAUGUUUAUGGAUGCUUUUUGCUGCAAAGUUCAAUGUAUUAUUUGGGAAAGAAGCCAGAAAAAGAGAGACUUCUCACCAGAGGUAGUUGGCCACCCGUGUGUGUGAAACAGCAUUUAGCCCUCAGCCCUGUUCUGUUCACUUGUCCCUGAAUGGACAAUCUCUUAUUUUCCAGAAUGAGAAACCAACCAAUUUUUUGCUGUGGACCUGAAUGACAUGAAAAAAAAACAGGGAGGGGAUUUUGCAAAAAUUAGGUUCCCUUGCUUGCAGUAUAAGGCUGACACAGACAGGGAGGUAUAAGGACUCUAGGAAGAGGAAAUAGCAAAGUAAAGGCACAAGCUCACCAUCUUCCCUGCAGUAAGAAAGUAAAAGAUCCAUUAGAGGAGAAAAUGUACCUGAAAGCACUUAGCACAGUGCUUGGCAAAUGGAUGAGAUUCAAUAAUAUUGACUCUUUUUGUUUUUCUCUAUGCUCUGUGUAGGGACUCAUAAGGCAGAUUUUGUGUAGGAAGAAUAUAGGGGGAAACAGUGGGAAUGAGGGAGCAUUCUCUACCUGGAUGAUAGUCAAAAUCUUGCUGUUAGAGUUUCUUUCCUUUGUAUCAAAAAACAAAUACCAACUAGAGGCAAAGCACAUUGUUUUCAGACAUUUCUAUUUUAGUAAUAAUGGUUCGUUAUUUUCUUUUUCUUUCAGGCAGUAAUGGUAUGAACGUAUAGGCAUUAAACUCACAGAUGAGGGAGGAAAUACACAUUUUCUAUUACUCUAAGCUAGACAAAAACCUAUCAGUCUAAACUGGAAUACUACCACUCAUAACAUCUACUAUAUAAAUAAACAAUUUUAACAAGUAUAAGGUUCUAGUAGA